GACUACGAUGCUCAACUCCAUUCGCCAUCGCCAUCGCCAUCGCCUCCUCAGACCCCCUUCUUCUCCACACGGCCUCGCCUUCCUCUUCCUCAAAUCCCUCUCCUCCACCACCUCCUCCGUCGCCCCCCACUCCCAAACCCUAACCUUCCUCAUCGACUCCUGCGGCUUGUCCCCCGAAUCCGCCAUUUCCGCGUCCCAGAAGCUGCGCUUCAAGAGCACCGAGAACCCUAGCGCCGUCCUCCGCCUCCUCCGCGACUACGGCUUCGGCGAGACCCACAUCUACACGAUCAUCUCCAGGCACCCGAACCUGCUCUCCUGCGAUUCGCACAGGAUCCUCAGGCCGAAGAUCGAAGCUCUCCGCAGCUUCGGCUUCUCCGGCGAGUCGCUGGCGCGCGUCCUCACCGUCCAACCGGCGCUGCUGACGCGGAGCCUGGAGAAGCACAUCAUCCCCUGCCUCACCUUCCUCCGCACCCUCCUCGCCUCCGACGGCGACUUCGUCUCCGUCUUCACCCGCUACCCCCGCGGCCUCAACGCCGACCUCAACAGGUCCAUCUUGCCCAUCCUCGCCGUCCUCCGCAAGCACAACCUGCCCGAGGACAGGAUCCCUAAGCUCGUCAAGAUCCAUCCGAGAAUCCUGAUUCUCACGCUCCGCCGCGCCAUCGAGAUCGUCGACGGGCUUAAGGCCGCCGGGGUCCUGCCGUCCGACCUCCUCUUCAUCUACGCGUUCCGCGCGGUCGCCGGACAGAAGAGCGCGAGCUGGGACCGGAAGAUGGCGCUCUUCAAGAGCUUCGGGCUGUCGGAGGCCGACGUCGUUUCGGCGUUCCGGAGGCACCCGUGGGUCAUGCUGACGUCCGAGGAGAAGCUACGGCGGGGCCUCGAGUUUUUUCUCCGUAGGCUGAAGUUUGCUCCGGACGACAUCCUUAAGCAUCCAAUUCUCCUGUGCUACAGCUUGGAGAAGAGGAUCCUUCCCAGGUGUGCGGUGAUCACUGUUCUGAAGAGGAAGGGGAAGUUGGAAGAGAGCUCGCCCCUCAUCCCGGCGCUGAUAGAGCCCGUGCCAUCAUUCUUGAAGAGAUUUGUGAUGCGGUAUCAGGAUGAUAUUCCUGAGGUUCUCAAGGCUUAUAACCGCGAAAUCAAAUUCAAUGGAUGAUUGGGAAAUUGACUGGAGUAAGAUGCUCGAAUUGGUAAGAGAAUCGCCGACAAGCAGUCUCAUGUAUGAGGUAACGAGUUCUUUAAGCAUUUGCAGUUUGCAAGGAUCUUCCUGAUCUCUGAUUAGAGGCUUAAACACCUCUACCUCUUUUGUGUUGCUUACAUAGUGCGCCGAACAAUUCUUGUGUGAUGCAUUAAUAGUGAAGCAACUAGCUAGCCAGGAAUUCAUAUGUUUAUCGCGGAUUAAGAGUCUUAGAUCGUGGCCCAAUUGCAAAUCAUAACACUUGGAAGUUCAAAAAGUUGAAAUUUCCUACUUAAUUUACAAACUCAUAUGCCAGUUUAUAGGGGGCUUGGGCGGUCCAGUUCAGUUGGUUCCGAAAGUUUUCAAACCAAGAAGAAGAUUCUCACACAAAAGGAUAGAAAAGAUUUGGUUGGAGGAGAACAUCUUGCUAUUCUUCAGAUGGCAAGGGAAAACGCAAGAAAUCUUUUUCCUUGCUCCUUUUUAUGAAAUGUCAUCUAAACGCUGGCUUGUUUGCAUUUACUUUGCCUCUUUACGUUUGGAGUGUCGUCAAUUGUAGAACUAGUCAAAUUAAAUCCCCAAAAAUCGUUUGGUUCGGGGGUAUAGGUAAGAAAUGCUUAUUUCAGAGAUAGAUAUAAGUUCAGAUAUAAAUAAGAUAUAGACCAAUUUUGCGUUUGGAUAAAAAUUAGAUUGUUUUCAGAAAUAAGAAAAGUAGCUAUAAAUAAAAAAUAAUGAUAUUACACUCUUAUUAUAUUUGAAUUUGAAUUUUUAAAUUUUAAAUUUAUAUUUUGAAAUUUAAAAUUUUAAUUUUUAAUUUUUAAAUUUUAAAUUUAAAAUUUAAGAUCAAAUUUAAAUUUGAAAAAUAUAAAAUGUCAAAUUUUAAAUUUGAAAAAUUUAAAAUAUCAAAUUUAAAAUUUAGAAUUUAAAAUUAUAAACUUUAAUUUUAAAAUUACAAAUUAUUUAUUUUAAAAAUUUAAAAUUAAAAUUAAAAUUUUUUAAUUUUAAAUUUUAAAAAUAAAAAUAGGGGUGGGAACACCCACCUUUAGCGAGUUAUCUGGAGAUAAUAAUUUAAUAUUAAUUAAAUUAAUUAAUAAUUUAAUACUAUAAUUAAAAUUAAUUAAAAUUUAAUUAAUUUUGUUCUUGGUUGUUUCAGAGAUAAAGGUGGAACAAUAAUUUUAGAUUUAUAGCAAGUUAUAUCAGUUUAUUUUAGAUAUUCGAAAAUUACUGUUCCUCGGUACAAAAAUUAGUGUUUGGAUGUAAAGGUGGGGAUAAGGAGUUAUCCCCUUAUCUCCGAACCAAACGUGGUGAGGAGACUAGCUUCGUUUAUUUUCACCUUUUGUUUCGCCUCUUUCUGUAAUUCUUGGCACUCACAAUUGAGCAACAAAAUCAAAGGGAGCGGAACUUUAAUGAUGUCCUGCAGAUGAUCCAAGCAUUUUGUGUUUGAGAUGAAUAGUGUUACAUUUACGAUACGGUUGCAUGAAAUUGGUUGUUUUAUUUUGUUUUGUUUUUACCCUUAGAUCGCUAAUUCAUGUGUUGAACAAGCCGUCCCUGAUGUAAUAUCUAUCGAGUUUCUACAAGGUUGGUUUCUUCUCUUCUGCAUUGUUUGCUGAAGAAAAAUGCUGAGAUAUAUAGUGCCUGUUAUGAGGAUUAUUCUUAGACAAAACGGAAUUACUAUCGACAUAUUAAAGAAUUGUGAUUACAGUCUCCUCUUUUGAGGCUUACAUUACAACCGAUCAUUUCUAGCGCAAGUGGCAAAGAGUUUGAUAGUUGGUAUUCGAGAUUUUAAGUUUGAGUUCUAAUCGAUUUAUAUUUCCAGUAAAAUUUAUUUUUAAAAGAACUAAACGAAAUGGAUAGUACGCUACAUUUUCUUAAAAAAAAGAAAAAAAAACAUUCAAAUGAGGCUUGAUUAAGAAUAUAUAUAUUUUUUAAAGGACUAAAUUGGAAAUAUAAAUCGACAUAAAACACGCAGAAAAGAGAGUCAUCUCUGAAUCUGCGAACUGGUCAUUCAAUUUUUCAGCUGGGGGCCAACAAUUUGGCCCGGUGAAGUANAAAAAAAAAAAAAAAAAAAAAACCAAUCAAACAAGACUCUGCACGACAUUAGUUCGCCUCUUUAUGAGCCAAAAACAAAGUAGUACAAGACAUAAAACACGCAGAAAAGAGAGUCAUCUCUGAAUCUGCGAACUGGUCAUUCAAUUUUUCAGCUGGGGGCCAACAAUUUGGCCCGGUGAAGUAGCCGAGUUUGGUCGCGGGCCACCCGAGUUGGUCCUCUCGACAAACGCAAAACCCUCCUCCGAACCCUAGGAGAGAAAAAAAAAAAAUCUCUACUACGAUGCUCAACUCCAUUCGCCAUCGCCUCCUCCUCCUCCCCCCCACAAACCCUUCUCCCCCCAAAUCCCUCUCCCUAUGCUCCUCCUCCGUCGCCCCCUCCUCCCAAACCCUAACCUUCCUCAUCGACUCCUGCGGCUUGUCCCCCGAAUCCGCCCGGUCCGCGUCCCAGAAGCUCCUCUUCAAGAGCGCCGAGAACCCUAACGCCGUUCUCCGCCUCCUCCGCGACUACGGCUUCGGCGAGGCCCACAUCUCGAAGCUCAU
rnacentral:lncRNA from 1 species